GAGCCUACUAAAUGUAAUCAUACUUUCUCUUUUUUUUUUUUUUUUGGGAGCCCUUUUGGCCCUUUUCUUUGUGUUUGCACUGCAGUUGGCUAUUGUCAUUGGUUUGUUCCCAGUUACGACAACCGUUCGUCUGUUUCUAAGGAAAAGGGAUGAGAUCUGGUGCAACUCUCGUCCGCAUGCCAACGAAAGAGAUCUGUUUUUGAGGUUGGCAACUUGUAGUUAUAUGGUAAGCCUUCUAUUAGGCAUUCAUCUCGUGAAGUCUUGGAUUUUGGUACUCUGAAAGCAGGCAAUUGCUAAACGCCACUGUUGAAGUUGCCUUGCUUUUGUUUUCCGUGCCGAAACCCUGAAAUGUUUGUGGCGUCGUUGGAACGAAAUUGGCACAAUCUUCGAGAUUCUGAGACGCUCUCUUGUCCGUUCCGUUUAGAGUUUUGCGCGAGUUUUGGCGGUUCUAA